AAUUCCAGUCCCUGGAGCUGCAAACUGCCCUCAGGGCAAAGAAGCCUGCAGAAUAAUUGGGAGGAGUCUGGCAGGAAGGAAGCCAAGUUUCCUGAGGCCCUCACCAGAAGCUCAUCAGAAGCAGAUGCUGGCACCACUCUUCUUAUGCUGUCUGCGUAACUAAUCAGUAUUUCAAGCAUCCAAAAUGUGUAGGAGAAUAUGGACCCAAGAACGGAGCAGAGAGACAAAUAGAGGAACGGAAAGUUUUGCCUACAACCAUGAUGUUCUCAAUGUUAGCUGACUGUGUUCUAAAAUCCACUCCAAUUCCCAUUUUGGGAGUUGCUAUGUGAUGAAGGUCUGCCCCUGUGGUGUUGGGACAACUUGCUCAUGGAGUUGCAGUUCUUGCCUAACAGGAACCCACCAUGAGCUGCCUCCUGCCCCUGAGGGGAGGAGUCCAUCCUCUUCUAUAGGAUACACCUGUUGGCUUGUUUGUCCUUCCUUCCCCUUUCUGGGAAUUGUUCUCCAUCAACAUGUUUAUGGGGACAGCCAUUUCUAUACAAUGUGACCUGUAUUGAUCUAUUUUGUGUUGCUAUAAAUAAAUACCUGAGGCUGGUAAUUUUUAAAGAAGAGAGGUUAAUUUGGCCCAUAAUUCUGCAGGCUGUACAAGAAGCAUGGCACCAGCAUCUGCUUCUGGUGAGGCCGCAGGAAGCUUCCACUCAUGGUGGAAGGUGGAGGAGGAGCAGGCGUGUUAUAUGGCAAGAGCGAGAGCAAGAGAGAGAGCAGAAGGUGUCAGGCAACCAGCUCUCAUGUGAACUAAUGAGCAAGGACUCACUCAUCACCAAGGGGAUGGCCCCAGCCAUUCCUGAGAGAUCCGCCCCCUAACCCAAACACCUCCCACCAAGCCCCACCUCCAAGACUGGCGGUCAAAUUUUAACAUGAGACCUUCAUUAUCAAUGUUUGUGUAUCUACACAUCCAAAGUAGAUCAUCAUCUUUGGUCUUUGGGAGAUACACCAGAGAAAAACAACUCCUCUGGCCUGGGAGAUUUUGACUUUCUGCUUUUCAUGUGUGUUUGCUUUUAUCGAAGAGGGAAUCUGCUACUUGCCUGAUGCAACUGCAUUUGGAUACUGAACUGGGGCCCAAAGAGUCUCAAAUCACUGCCUGGGAAUGCCAAUUUCUCAUCAUGAAUUAGAAAUCAAUUCUAGCAGCCUCCCUGCUAAGUAAAAAAAUUACAUAAUUCUUUCUGCACUACUGCAUUAGGCUGAUUUUUUUUUUCCUUUUCCUGAAUGUACAGUAAAUCUCUAGUGGUUUAAGCCAUGGUGCCUCUGCUUAAACACAAUAUGAAAUCGCUACCAAAUUUAAAUAAAAAAUAAAUUCUGUGUUGUGUUAGGAGUCUCUCCUGCCAAAAACUCUCACACAAUUAACACACUAACAGAAUGUGUUGCUAAUUUCAUGCCACUGGAGUCUUUUCUGCUUCAGAAUAUAGAAACAAAAUCAGGUCAGAGCUCCAAUAAUAACAGGAUUUUGUUAAAAUAUACAGCCCUGUGUUGUAGAUACGUUGUAAGAAUGGGUGAAAAGGGGACUCACAGUGAUGCACGAAAUAGCUCACUACUGCAAAUAGAAGUGGGAGAACUUGUCUCCAGCUUCUUUGCAGAGAGAGAGAGGGGGAGAGAGGAGAGAGAGGGUGGAGAGAGAUUAGGGGAGAGAGGUAGAGAGAGAGAGAGGAAGAGAGACUGAGAGAGAGGGAGACGGGUAGAGGGAGAGGAGAGAGAGAGGAUGGGAGAAAGGGAAAGAGGAGAGAGAGAGGGAGACAAGAAGAGAGAGGGAGAAAGGAGAGAGAGGAUAGAGAGAGAGAAAGAGAGAGGAGAGAGAGUUAGGAGAAAGAUAGGGAGAGAGAAGAGAGGGAUAGGGACAGAGAGGCAGCGAGGAGAGAGAGAAGCAAGAGACAGGGAGAGAGGAGAGAGAGAAGGAGGGAGAGAGAAAAGGAGGGACAGAGAGAGAA
ensembl:lncRNA C5orf64 chromosome 5 putative open reading frame 64